UACGUAGGGUGCAAGCGUUAAUCGGAAUCACUGGGCGUAAAGCGUGCGCAGGCGGCUUUGCAAGUCAGAUGUGAAAUCCCCGGGCUUAACCUGGGAACUGCAUUUGUGACUGCAUGGCUGGAGUGCGGCAGAGGGGGAUGGAAUUCCGCGUGUAGCAGUGAAAUGCGUAGAUAUGGGGAGGAACACCGGUGGCGAAGGCGGCCAUCUGGACGGAUACUGACGCUGAGACGCGAAAGCGUGGGGAGCAAACAGG
rnacentral:rRNA from 1 species